rnacentral:rRNA from 1 species
AGUCGAGCGGACAGAAGGGAGCUUGCUCCCGGAUGUUAGCGGCGGACGGGUGAGUAACACGUGGGUAACCUGCCUGUAAGACUGGGAUAACUCCGGGAAACCGGAGCUAAUACCGGAUAGUUCCUUGAACCGCAUGGUUCAAGGAUGAAAGACGGUUUCGGCUGUCACUUACAGAUGGACCCGCGGCGCAUUAGCUAGUUGGUGGGGUAAUGGCUCACCAAGGCGACGAUGCGUAGCCGACCUGAGAGGGUGAUCGGCCACACUGGGACUGAGACACGGCCCAGACUCCUACGGGAGGCAGCAGUAGGGAAUCUUCCGCAAUGGACGAAAGUCUGACGGAGCAACGCCGCGUGAGUGAUGAAGGUUUUCGGAUCGUAAAGCUCUGUUGUUAGGGAAGAACAAGUGCGAGAGUAACUGCUCGCACCUUGACGGUACCUAACCAGAAAGCCACGGCUAACUACGUGCCAGCAGCCGCGGUAAUACGUAGGUGGCAAGCGUUGUCCGGAAUUAUUGGGCGUAAAGGGCUCGCAGGCGGUUUCUUAAGUCUGAUGUGAAAGCCCCGGCUCAACGGGGAGGGUCAUUGGAAACUGGGAACUUGAGUGCAGAAAAGAGAGU